rnacentral:antisense_RNA from 1 species
AGGAGCUGCCGAAGGCUGCGAUCUUUUGCUCUUGGUUUCUAACCUCAAGAUCAAAAGAUCGCAGCCUUCGGCAGCUCUU